GACGAACGCUGGCGGCGUGCUUAACACAUGCAAGUCGAACGGUGAAGCGCCUUCCUUUUUGGUGGGUGCGGAUGAGUGGCGAACGGGUGAGCAACACGUGAGUAACCUGCCCCCAUCUUCUGGAUAACCGCAAGAAAGUGUUGCUAAUACGGGAUAUUCUGGGUCUGUCGCUUGAUGGGUCUGGGAAAGAUAUUGUUUCGGUGGGGGAUGGGCGCGCGGCCUAUCAGCUUGUUGGUGGGGUGAUGGCCUACCAAGGCGGUGAUGUGUAGCCGGCCUGAGAGGGUGGACGGUCCCGCUGCGACUGCGAGACGGGCAGGACUCCGACUGGAGGCAGUAGUGGGGAAUAUGGCACAGUGGGCGAAAGCCUGAUGCAGCGCCGCCGCGUGGAUGAUGGAGGCCUUCGGGUUGUAAACCUCUUUCACGAGUGAAGCAGGCCUGCCUCGUUUGUGAGUGGGUUGACGGUAGCUGGACAAGAAGCGACGGCUAACUACGUG
rnacentral:rRNA from 1 species